UGGUAACGCCAUGAGGAAGGUUCGCGUCUCGGUAAUCAACGUCGCGUCAGUAGGGUAAAAAGCCCGUAAGGGGCUUCUCCUGCGAUUGGACAGCAUUUACAUGUGAACGCAAGGCACAGUGUCACCAUAAACCAAACCCAUUUUUAAGAAAUAAGUGGUCUGUCACGUCAAUAUCGACACAGGCCCACUGAGAAAGUAGGAAGAUGGACCCGACGUUUCCCCUGGCGUCCGCUAGAUGUCGCUGCUAUGCAUACUUUAUGUUCCUGGGGAGAAGCUGAACGGUAGCAGCAUCCAGCGGAUCACAGCAGCUGGCUGGGCUCCCCGUGCACCUAGAUGUCUUAUAACUUUGGCCCUCGAUCUGCAUUUGAUUUUCCUACAAAACUUUAUUUUAGAUGUGGUUGGUAUUGUCAAAAUACUUAUAAAAGUCCACUCAAUGACCACCCAGCCAGGCUCAGAGGUCUUUAGGCUAAUUGAUGGGCAUUUCUGAGCACACAGCUACAUGUUGCUUAACGGGGUUCAGCUUGUUCCUGUUUUGAAUGACAUCAUUUCUGUCAGUGUGGGGGUAGUUUGGUAGUAGGUGGGUGAAUGAGGCCGGGGGGGACAAAUGUGUUAUAUAUGUAGCCUAUAUCUGUGUG